rnacentral:rRNA from 1 species
AACGAACGCUGGCGGCAGGCUUAAUACAUGCAAGUCGAACGCCCCUUUCGGGGGGAGUGGCAGACGGGUGAGUAACGCGUGGGGACGUGCCCAAAGGUAGGGAACAACUCCGGGAAACUGGAGCUAAUACCCUAUGUGCCCGAGAGGGGAAAGAUUUAUCGCCUUUGGAUCGGCCCGCGUUGGAUUAGCUAGUUGGUGGGGUAAAAGCCUACCAAGGCGACGAUCCAUAGCUGUUCUGAGAGGAAGAUCAGCCACACUGGGACUGAGACACGGCCCAGACUCCUACGGGAGGCAGCAGUAGGGAAUCUUGGACAAUGGGCGCAAGCCUGAUCCAGCCAUGCCGCGUGAGUGAUGAAGGCCUUAGGGUUGUAAAACUCUUUCGCAGGUGACGAUAAUGACGGUAACCUGAGAAGAAGCCCCGGCUAACUACGUGCCAGCAGCCGCAGUAA